rnacentral:lncRNA from 1 species
UAAAAGCAGGCUGCCGGAGCCGGGAGUGGCAAUCCCCUAAUGUUCCCUUCCACCUUGUGGAAGUUUUGUUCUUUCGCUCUUUGCAAUAAAUCCCAUUGUUGCUCGCUCUUUGGGGUCUCACUGUCUGUGCGAGCUGUAAUACUCGCCGCAAAGGUGUCUGGCUUCACUUCCGAGACCAGCGAGACCCCGAACCCACCGGGAGGAAUGAACAACUCCGGAUGGGAGGGACAAACAACACCAGACGCACCGCCUUAAGAGUCCUAACGCUCACCGCGGAGGUCUGCGGCUUCACUCUUGAAUGAAGCCAGCGAGAUCACAAACCCACCAGAAGGAAGGAACUCUGAACACAUCCGAAAAUCAGAAGGAACAAACUCCGGACACACUACCUUUAAGAACUGUAACACUCAAAUCGCGAGGGUCCACGGCUUCGUUCUUGAAGUCAGUGAGACCAAGAACCCACAAAUUCCGGACACUUCCCCACACAGAGGGAACUGGCCUAACACUCUGGUGGUGCCAAUAGGAUGUACUGACAGAUCAGAAGUGGUCGUGAGAGAAGGAGCAAGUAGCCAGAAGAGUGAAGUGUGCACUGGCUGAGAUGUGGGAGCAGGUGUUGUUGGUUUCCCCGGACAAGAAGGCCCUCGCCAGAUAUCAAGGCCUUAAGCUUGGACUUCCCAGCCUCCAGAACUCUAGGACUUUGGCCAAUGAUGGAAGCAAACAUCCCUUGACUCGUCUCCAACUUAAGAAGAGGAGUGCUCAAUAUUUCAACAUAAGGAGUCACGAUUACUGUAGAUGCUCUUUAACAGAUUGAGGAAAUCUCCUCCUAUCCCUAGUUAUGUGGAUUUAAAAAAUCAUGAAUGGGUCUAAAUUUUCGGCAAAUGCCUUUUCUUCAUCUAGUAAAAUGAUCAUAAUCUAUUUUUCUUUUAAUUGGUUAAUAUCAUAAAUUUCAUUAAAUGAUUUUCAUUUGUUAAAUAAACCUUGCAUUCCUGGAAUAAACUCCAGCCAGUCAUGAUGUAUUAUCCUUUUUAAUAUGUUGGUAUGUAAUUUUCUUAUCUUGUAAUGUCCUUGUUUGGAUGCAAUUUUUCAUUUAUUUGUCUGUCUAUUUGAUGAAAAGGUAUUUGUAAGCUUCAUGAGGCCUGCAAUUAUAUCUCUUGUGCUUGCCUUUUUUUCUCUCACGUGACUAAGAAUGUAAAAAUAGGUUGUUGAAGGAAUUACUGGAUGAAAGAAUAUAUGAGCAAAUUGUUUCUGGUCAUAAUAUGUGAAAAGUUCCUUAUAAGCAUUAAAGCAUAAAGCAUACCCAAGUAUGGGUUUUAUUAGUAGUAGAAGAAUUAAGACUACCUUGGUGCUUUUUAUAGGGUUCAGAGUAUGAGGCAAAGUAAUCAAUUUUACUGUAGAAAAUGAAUUCAGAAUCAGGCGGCUUUCCUCAGCUGGACUCAGGGAAGACCAUAUUAUAUUAUUUCCUCUACCUAAGGGCCCUUUUAAUGCUCUGUCAGUUCUCUGGAGCCAAGAGAAGUUCAGGACUUUAAUAUUUACUCUUACAAAUGUUCAUGACUCUCUCUUCCCACAGUGAAAAAAAAAAUGCUGCUGAUCCGAUUCUGUGUCUAAUUGUACAUAACCAUGUAUGUAGAUAGAUGUGAAAAAAUCUUUUUCAUGAUAAAGGCUGUUACAAGCAUAAAACAAUGUUUAUACUUGUAUGAUGUAUAACAUUAUACAAAGAUUUGAUACUUGAAAAUAUGUUGCAGCUUCAACUUACAAGAGAUAACUGCAAUAGAGAAAUAAACACGUGUUUGUAAAAUGCUACUUACCCCAAUUUCACUAAUUGUUAAAUUUAGCAUUCAAAAUUUUUGUUACAUUUAAAAAUAAUGUACAUGUUUACUUUAGUUUGAUUUUCUUUUUUCGCUUUGGAAGAAUUCCUGGGUAUAUAUGAUUCUCUAAAAGAGCAAAAGAAACCUUAAAAUAAAUGAGCCACUAAGCAACUAAUUACAAAAACUUUAAAAGGCAUAAAAAUCCUUACAAGAUGUACACAGAUCAACAAGUAUAUUGCAUACGGGGUCUAGCUGCUGGUCCGAGUGUUUGCUGUGGGGUAGAGCUCAGAAGUGAGAGUACUUCCCUUGAGCCUACAAAGAAAGGUCUUCAAAGGGCUGUUCUUUGUUUGGAGGGACUAGCCUGCAGCGUCCCUCAGCUUAUUUCCUGGCACAGAUGAUGGCCCUGCCUUUGUUUAUAAUGACCAAGUCUUUGGUUCUGAUGUUUUGUUUGUUUGUUUGUUUGUUUUUGAGACUGGAGUCUAGCUCUGUCGCCAGGCUGGAGUGCAGUAGUGCAAUCUCAGCUCACGGCAACCUCCUCCUCCCGGGUUCAAGCAAUUCUCCUGCCUCAGCCUCCAGAGGAGCAGGCAUGUGCUGCCACACCCAGCUAAUUUUUGUAUUUUGUUUUAGUAGAGAUGGGGUUUCACCAUGUUGGCCAGGAUGGCCUCAAUCUCCUGACCUCGUGAUCUGCCCACCUCGGCCUCCCAAAGUGCUGGGAUUACAGGUGUGAGCCACAGUGCCUGGCCUGAUUAUUAUUUUAGAAUUAAAAUAUCCCAAGUUUCUGAAGCGAGAAAAGCAGUUUCCCCUCUUUCUAGUGCCUUCUGGCUGCUGGCGAAAUGAUGAACAUGUUGAGCUUUACAAGCCAGAGAUUCGAUGAGAACAGAAACACACCUGCCAGGAAAAGAAAAGGCUGCUUAGAGUGAGGAUUCAGGACCUGGAGCCCACUCUGCGGAGAGGGACUGGGGUCAGGUCCUGAUUGGCUUGUGCUCUUCUCUUUUACGCAGGUCUUAUGUAUCAACAAAAUCACACCAGACCACCCAAAGCUGGCCCUGCCAACUGACCACACACACCCCUGCCUGAAAGGCAUGUUUCAAUGUGCAACAGACGCCUGCCACUCAGGGGACAUCAAAUGUUCAUGAGAACUCGCUAACCUCGAAACAGGUUCUACAAAUUCAAAAAAACCACCCGUGGCCUGGCUCUGGGCUGAAGCUGAGUCCUGGCUUGAAAUCCCCUGCCUUAAUCUCUCUUCGAAGACUUUUCUGCAUUCAUCUGAGUCCUCAUCCUCCAAGGCAGGGCUCAGGCUUGGGCUCAGGCUCCCAGCCAUGUAUCCCUCCUGGACCAUUCCUGACUCCUUUCCAGUAUCCUUAUCACUUGUACCACAUACGUUGGCCUUUGAUCCUGUGUACUGUUGGAUUUGUCUUUACUUCACAGGUUCAUCUUGUCUCCCCAAGAACAAUGAGAGUUGCCUCAAGGGGUAGAACCAUGCUUUUUGUUUUCUUUUGAAUUCAUUACAGCACAGCCAAAAGCUCAACACACAAAACACACUCAGUAAAUAUCUGUUGAACAGAAUAAAAGCCAUUCCGCAUAACCAACCCUGAUCUCUUUUGCUGGACUGUAAACCAACCUACCUAUUGUUAGUCCUUCACAGAUUAUAUGGUGGAUCUGAACACAUCAGGUAGAACCUUUGAUAAACUUAAAGUCCUUCAUUGAAUCACUCUGUAGCCACUGUUUUCUCUAGGACAAAAGCUUUAAAUAUUUUGAGAAAAUUGUACAAGACCAUCCAUCCUGAUUCUCAUGGCUUUGGUUGUUCAGAAAGGAAAUCUUUGUACACACACCAUUUCACUGCCUCCUUUUCAGUUUCCCAAUUUGGAAAAAGGAAAAAUGUGAACUAUCCCCCUCUUCGCGUUCUUUUCUAACUGAAGUGAUAGAUUUCAGAGUCGUAUAAAGCUAAGAUUAUCGUUUAUCAUAUCUCAGAUUCAGGGAGGUGGUUAGCAUGCCAACGUGCAAAUCCCCAGGCAACUGUGAACAGCCAUUUGGAGAAUCCACCACAUGGAAAAUCCUCCAGAGUCUCUGGGCAAUCGAACUGUGACAUCUUCAUCACAUUGGUCCCAAGGAUUGAUUCAGCAAUGUGCCCAAUUAGGUGGGUGUCCCCUUCCAUCAUGGCUCUCCUAUGUGGGUCCCUUCUGAAAUAAUGCAUCCUUCAGGGUGCUUUCAGCUACGAGCAACAUAAAACUCAAUUAAAAGUGUGCUAGACAGAAAGGACAUUUUUCAUCUCACUUAUGUACUGAGAAGUCUGAACAUGGGAUAAAUCCCUGAUUGGCUAAUUUGCUCAAUGACACCAACAGAAGACCUUGGUGCUUCCUACCCUGCCAGAUUGAACACAAUGGACUCCUCUUGGGAUCACCAAGUUGGCUCCAGCAGUUUCAGGCUUUGCCCAGAGACAUGACGACAUACAGCAAGAAAAGGAAAUUUCCUUCCAUCGCCUCUCUUUUAUUUCUGAGGACACCUUUCCCAGAAAAUGCAUAGCAGGCUUUUGUUUACAUGUUUUCUUUUCUCUCUCUCACUCUCUCUCUCUCUCUUUUUUUUUUUUUUUUUCUCUAAGAUGGAGUCUCAUUCUGUUGCCCAGGCUGGAGUGCAGUGGCACGAUCUGAGCUAAUCACAACCUCUGCCUCCCAAGUUCCAGCGAUUCUCCUGCCUCAGUGUCCCGAGUAGCUGGGACUACAGGUGCACACUGCCGUGCUUGGCUAAUUUUUUUUGUAUUUUUUUUUCUUUAGUGGAGAUGGGGUUUCGCCAUGUUGGCCAGGCUAGUCUCAAGCUCCUGACCUCAAGUGAUCCACCCACCUUGGCUUCCCAAAGUGUUGGGAUUACAGGUGUGAGCCAUUGCGCCCAGCCUGUUCACAUGUUCUUAACCAGAAGGGGGUCAAUGUCAUUCCUAAAACCAUCACUGGGUCAGAAGAGAGACAGGUCUCUUUGAUUGCCUUAGGCAGAUUGAGAUUCUCUCUCUGGAGGGUGGGAAGGGGUCCAUUCUCACCAGAAUGAUUUGGUUACUCAAGGAAAUGUGGAUAAAAUUACCUUCUAUGAGCAAAGAAGGUAAGCCAGUGAACACUGGAGAAAAUCAAGAGUGACAGCAGCAGAUGGUAUUAAGAUCAAUUUCUCAAACAGAGGAGGCUCUUUUUUUUUUUUUUUUUUUGAGACAGAGUCUUGCUCUGUCACCCAGGCUGGAGUACAGUGAUUCAAUCUUGGCUCAUCAUAACCUCCGCCUCCUGAGUUCAAGCGAUUAUCCUGCCUCAGGCUCCCAAGUAGCUGGGAUUACAGAUGCGCGCCACCACGCCCAGUUAAUUUUUGUAUUUUUAGUAGAGACGGUGUUUUGCCAUGCUGGCCAGGCUGGUCUCGAACUCCUGACCUCAGGUGAUCCACCCACAUCGGCCUUCCAGUGCUGAGAUUACAGGCGUGAGCCACCGCACCCAGCCAAGGAGGCUUCUCUUAAAAAUGAACCAAUAGCUACUUGCCCCAGGAUUAAAACAGGAACAAUGGAGGAAAGGAGGACAAUUUUAGGGAUUUCAGAUUCUGUUUACAUGCAUCUAAAACUCUGCUUCAAGUCUUAACAAUAUACAAGACCUAUUGAGGGAAAAUAGUAUUUGUAAAUUCAGGGUUCUAAACAUAUUUUCCUCCCUAAAGACUAAACUUGUAAACUAUUGCCAUGUCAAGGAAAGGAAGAACAUUUAAAACCAUUCACAUCCUUUUCCAGUAUGGAUGCUUUCAAUACCAUUUUUCUUUCAUCCUUCCCUCCACAGAUGAUCUAGGGUUACUCUUGACAGAGAACAAGAGAAAGAACUGUGACACCUGCCUGCACCAUAUUUAUUCUUCUCAAAAUUACAUAUCAAACACUUGUGCUAGCUUCAAAUAAUAAGGGCUAACAAUUACCAGGCAUUUACUCUGUGCUAAGUGCUUCAUAUGCGUCAUCUCAUUUAAAUUGUCUAACAACCAGUGAAGCUGCUAAUUGCAGUGGAUGUUUGUUAUUUUUCCCACUUGGAACCUGUUCUCACCUCCUUCUGACAAUGCUAUUGCAUUUUUACAUGGAUAAGUAUUUGUAGUCUGUCCAGAUAAGCAACAAAAAAUUGAAUAAAUUGGACUUCAUAAAAAUUAAAAACUUUGUACACCAAAGGACACUAUCAAGAUGGAGAAAAGAUAACUUACAGAAUGAGAGAAAAUAUUUGCAAAUCAUAUAUCUGCUAAGAAUAUAGUACCAGAUUAUAUAAAAAAAUAUAAUUCAACAAAGAGACAAAGAAAAUUUAUGUAUGGGCAAAGGACUUGGAUAGACAUUUGUCCAAAAACAUACAAAUGGGCAAAAAGCACAUAAAAGAUAGUCAACAUCAUUAGUCAUGAGAGAUAUGCAAAUCAAAGCCAUAAUGAGAUACUACUUUACAAUCAUGAGAAUGACUAAAGUAAAAAAGACAAUAACAAGUGUUGAUGAGGAGGUAGAGAAAAUGGAACCUUUGUGCAUUGCUGGUAGGAAUGUAACAUGGUGCAGCUGCUGUGAAAAGGAGUUUGGUGAUUCCUCAAAAAGUUGACCAUAGAAUUAGCAUAUGACACAGUCAUUUGACUCCCAGAUAUAUACUCAAAAGGAUUGAAAACUGUCAAAUUUGUAUACAGAGAUGCUCAUACAUCAUCCUUCGUUAUAGCCCCAAACUGGAAACAUCUCAAAUGUUCAUCAGCUAAAGAAUGGAGAAACACUCAGUGAUAUAUUUAUAUGAUGGAAUAUUAUUCAGCCAUAAACAGGAAUGAAGUACUAAUACAUGCUGCAACAUGAAUGCACCUUGAAAAUACACCAAGUGGGAGAAGCCAGACAUAAAAGCCACAUAUUGUAUAAUUUCAUUUAUAUGAACUAUCUAGAAUAGGAAAAUCCAUAGAGACAGAUUAGUAGCCUCCAUUCUUUGGUUGCUCAGGCCAAAAGCCUUGGAGCAAUCCUUACUCCAUUACCUAUUCACAUACUUCAGAUCUAAUGAGUCAGGACAUCCUGUUUGUAAGCACCCACCCAAAAUAUACCCAGCACUUCCCUCUCCUCUGCUGCUACUUCCGUGGUGAGGGACACCCCAGUGUCUCUCACCUGCAUUGCUGCAGGAGCCUUCUGACCAACUUCUCUGGUUUGUCUUCUUUGUCCUAGAUUGUUUCCAGUGGUCCCCAGCUCUGGUAUUCUUUCCAUUGUGCCAUCAACCAAUAGAACAAAACAGAAGUGAGAGCUUCCCUGUCCAUCUGUUUCUCUGACUUUCUGUCCUUCCAUCUCUAUCUCUGAAUUUCUGCCUCUCUCUCUCUCUCUCUCUCUGUGUGUGUGUGUGCGCGCACAUGCACGCCUAUAUUAGUCUGUUUUGUUUUACUGUAAGAAAUACCUGAGGCUGGGUAAUUUAUAAAGAAAAGAGGUUUAUUUGGCUCACAGUUUUGCAGGCCAUACAAGUAUGGCACCAGCCUCUGCUUGGCUUCUGUGAGGACCUCAGGAAACUUAAAAUCAUGGCAGGAGGUGAAGGAGGAGCAGGUGCGUCACAUAGCCAGAGAGAGGUCAAAAGAGAGGUUAAGAGAGAGGAGGGACUAGGUGCAGUGGCUCAUGCCUGUAAUCCUAGCACUUUGGAAGGCUGAGGUGGACGGAUCACCUGAGGUCAGGAGUUUGAGACCGGCUUGACCAACAUGGUGAAACCCCG